rnacentral:rRNA from 1 species
GAAUUCACUAGUGAUUCAGGCCUAACACAUGCAAGUCGAACGCUUCUUACUUAUCGCACUUCGGUUCACCAAGUAAGAGGAGUGGCGAACGGGUGAGUAACACGUGGGUAACCUGCCCAUCAGAGGGGGAUAACACUUGGAAACAGGUGCUAAUACCGCAUAAUUCAGUUUACCGCAUGGCAGAGUGAUGAAAGGCGCUUUUGCGUCACUGAUGGAUGGACCCGCGGUGCAUUAGCUAGUUGGUAGGGUAAUGGCCUACCAAGGCAACGAUGCAUAGCCGACCUGAGAGGGUGAUCGGCCACACUGGGACUGAGACACGGCCCAGACUCCUACGGGAGGCAGCAGUAGGGAAUCUUCGGCAAUGGACGAAAGUCUGACCGAGCAACAGGGCGUGAGUGAAGAAGGUUUUCGGAUCGUAA